AUGCAAGUCGAACGAAGUAGCAAUACUUAGUGGCGAACGGGUGAGUAUAAUGUGGGUAUCUGCCCUUUGGUUUGGAAUAACACGAGGAAACUUGUGCUAAUACUGGAUAAGCCUUAACAGGGAAAGCUUUAGCGCCAAAGGAUGAGCCCGCACUUGAUUAGCUAGUUGGUAAGGUAAAAGCUUACCAAGGCUACGAUCAAUAGCUGAUCUGAGAGGAUGAUCAGCCACAUUGGGACUGAGACACGGCCCAAACUCCUACGGGAGGCAGCAGUGGGGAAUCUUGCACAAUGGGGGAAACCCUGAUGCAGCGAUGCCGCGUGAGUGAAGAAGGCCCUUGGGUUGUAAAGCUCUUUCGUCGGGGAAGAAAAUGACUGUACCCGAAUAAGAAGGUCCGGCUAACUUCGUGCCAGCAGCCGCGGUAAUACGAAGGGACCUAGCGUAGUUCGGAAUUACUGGGCUUAAAGAGCACGUAGGUGGUUAGAAAAGUUGGUGGUGAAAUCCCAAGGCUUAACCUUGGAACUGCCAUCAAAACUUUUUAACUAGAGUAUGAUAGAGGUAAGUGGAAUUUCUAGUGUAGAGGUGAAAUUCGUAGAUAUUAGAAAGAACACCAAUUGCGAAGGCAACUUUCUGGAUCAUUACUGACACUGAGGUGCGAAAGCAUGGGUAGCGAAGAGGAUUAGAUACCCUCGUAGUCCAUGCUGUAAACGAUGUGUGCUAGACGUUGGAAAUUUAUUUUUUCAGUGUCGCAGCAAAAGCGUUAAGCACACCGCCUGGGGAGUACGACCGCAAGGUUAAAACUCAAAUGAAUUGACGGGGACCCGCACAAGUAGUGGAGCAUGUGGUUUAAUUCGAAGAUACGCGCAGAACCUUACCAACACUUGACAUGUUCGUCGCGACUCUAAGAGAUUAGAGUUUUCGGUUCGGCCGGACGAAACACAGGUGCUGCAUGGCUGUCGUCAGCUCG
rnacentral:rRNA from 1 species